UCCCUGCUGGCUCAGAUGGUAAAGAGUCUGCCUACAAUGCAGGAGACCUAGGUUUGAUUCCUGGGUCAGGAG
rnacentral:tRNA from 1 species